CCUACGGGUGGCAGCAGUGAGGAAUAUUGGUCAAUGGACGAGAGUCUGAACCAGCCAAGUAGCGUGAAGGAUGACUGCCCUAUGGGUUGUAAACUUCUUUUAUAUGGGAAUAAAAUGUUCCACGUGUGGGAUUUUGUAUGUACCAUAUGAAUAAGGAUCGGCUAACUCCGUGCCAGCAGCCGCGGUAAUACGGAGGAUCCGAGCGUUAUCCGGAUUUAUUGGGUUUAAAGGGAGCGUAGGUGGAUUGUUAAGUCAGUUGUGAAAGUUUGCGGAUCAACCGUAAAAUUGCAGGUGAAACUGGCAGUCUUGAGUACAGUAGAGGUGUGCGGAAUUCGUGGUGUAGCGGUGAAAUGCUUAGAUAUCACGAAGAACUCCGAUUGCGAAGGCAGUUCACUGGACUGCAACUGACACUGAGGCUCGAAAGUGUGGGUAUCAAACAGGAUUAGAUACCCUUGUAGUC
rnacentral:rRNA from 1 species